GUGCCAGCCGCCGCGGUAAUACGGAGGGUGCAAGCGUUAAUCGGAAUUACUGGGCGUAAAGCGCACGCAGGCGGUUUGUUAAGUCAGAUGUGAAAUCCCCGGGCUCAACCUGGGAACUGCAUCUGAUACUGGCAAGCUUGAGUCUCGUAGAGGGGGGCAGAAUUCCAGGUGUAGCGGUGAAAUGCGUAGAGAUCUGGAGGAAUACCGGUGGCGAAGGCGGCCCCCUGGACGAAGACUGACGCUCAUGCACGAAAGCGUGGGGAGCAAACAGGAUUAGAAACCCGCGUAGUCC
rnacentral:rRNA from 1 species